rnacentral:tRNA from 1 species
AGCAGCGUGGCUCAGUGGAAAGAGCCUGAGCUUCGGAGUCAGAGGUCAUGGGUUCGAAUUCCAACUCUGCCC